UACAGAGGUCCCAAGCGUUGUUCGGAUUCAUUGGGCGUAAAGGGUGCGUAGGCGGCGCGGUAAGUCGGGUGUGAAAUCUCGGAGCUUAACUCCGAAACUGCAUUCGAUACUGCCGUGCUUGAGGACUGGAGAGGAGACUGGAAUUCACGGUGUAGCGGUGAAAUGCGUAGAUAUCUGGAGGAACACCGGUGGCGAAGGCGGCAUCCUGGACCAACACUGACGGCUGAGGAGCGAAAGCCAGGGGAGCAAACGGG
rnacentral:rRNA from 1 species